GUCACUGUUUCCAUCCCACGUCUGGGGCAGCAGGACCAGGACAGCAGGGUGACCUUGGCAGGAGCUGGGGUGAGCCCAGGGUGCUGCUGGCACCCAGAGAGCCACAAGAAAGCAGCAUGAUCCCCACACUGCCAUGGAACAGAAACCUGCUCUCAGCUGGCAUUGCCUUUGAAAUGGAAGUGCUGGAAUCUGCCCCAACACGUGGAGGAAGAGAUUUCUGUCCGGGUUGUGGGUGAGACAAGGGAAGAGGCCUCAGCAUCAUUACCUGUUACAACUCACAAGGCAAAUGCGACCAACGUGAAUUCCUGCUGAUGUUGUGAACUCUGCAAGUGCCUCAGAGAGAGGUGGGACUCUCAAGGAGUGCUGAGGAGAGCAGGCUGCUGAGGGCUGAGGAAUGGCAGCAAUGCCCACAUGUUUUCUGUUUGUGACACCGUGGCUGAUGGGGAUCAUUUAAUCACACAGAGAGACCAGUUCACUCUACCUUUGCACCAGCCCUUAAGAUGUUUCCCUUAUCUCUGGCUUUCUGCAGACGGCUGGGGCUUUCCCUGCCCGGUUCCUCUGUCACCUACAGAUGGCUUUCAGUGCUUAAUCCUUGGGAAAUGUGAGUUUCUCCAUGACUCAGCCACAGUUUCCCUGCUUGGCUGUCACAGGGUGUUUCAUCUUUUCACUUCUCGGUCCCCAUCUGUACAAAGAGGUCAGUAACGAGAGGAAAACAAGCAUAGCAGGGCCAGCUACACACAGAUCCCCGAGUGUUGAGGGGCCAUAUAAUUUCUUAAAUGAAUUGGUCACAUGAUACUCAUGAUACCCUUUUUUUUUCUUUUUCCUUCUUUACUGGGUAAUUGAAACUUCAUAGACAUUAAGAAUCUGAAACAUGCGUAACAGUUCUUUAUGUACAAACAGCUUUUUCUCUGCAAGCUGAGGGGCUUGUGGGGAAGAGAGUUCUGUGAACACUGGAGUGAGCAAGCACCUGUUUCCCACAAGUGUUACAAUUCCCACAACUGGCAGGAACAGUUGAUGUUCAGGGUAUAAAUGCAAAUUUUCCAUCUCUGCAUCACAGGAUUAUCCGCGUUGUCCCCAGUUAAACCUCCUCACUCAACAUAUAACUAAAUCUUUCCAAAUGACCAUGCCCUGCUCCCUCUAAUAACUUCUGCCUUCAUCUGGCCUAACUUCUGCCCAAGUCUUUGUGUUUCCUAUAGGCUCAAAUCUUGAAGACCUCAAUUAAUCUCCUAGAGCAGGGGGUCUCCAACAAGAGGAGACCAGAGGCCCAAGAACAUGGGUGGGUGAGUUGGGUUUUAUUUAAUGGGAGACACCUGGCCACCAGAUUGGCACCGUGCCAAUGGAAAGGUCCCUGCUGAAGCCAGGGUGUGUAAUUUGACCUUGUAAAUUCAGCAACAUGGGAAGCAAUUACACAGAAAUCCAAGCUCCAGCAGGCAGGGCUGCACUCUGCUGCUCUUGGGGGAACGACACACAGUGAAGGUGGGGAUUGAGCUGAUACUGAGUUGGCAGCAGCCCUCAGUCCUCUGAAAUUCAUGGCCUGUCUUCAGAAAGGAGGAAUAAUAUGUAAAAACAUCUUCUGGCCACCCAUUUCCACGCUGCCACUCAGCCCUGACCCAUUAUUUGGGAAAUUGCUACUUGAGGAAGGAAAAGAUAAAUCAGCGUACAUUGGACAAACAACUAGAAACUCUGGCUCAAGGCAGGGAAUCAGAGGACAGCAGACUCCAAACUUUUCUGCUAGUUUAGUAAAAUGGUUUGAUAUGAUCUACUAAGCAGGGGAAGUCAAAGACAAGCUGCCCUGCUGGGCAAUAUGAAGAAACAGCUGGGAAGAGACUGUCUGGCAGAAAGAACUGGGCUCAAGGAGGUAGAAGUGAUCCUUUCUCAGAUGUUAUUUUCCUUAACUACACUCAGCACCAUCUGAUGGAGCUCACUGGUCACAUCAUCACGCUUCCCACCGUGGGGAAAUCAUGUGGUACAGACACUGGAACAUGGAGAGCUGCUCCUGGAGGCCAAGAAAGCAGCUGGGAAAACACCACAGCCAAGGCAGCUCUGCCACAGGCAGCACCAGAUGGAAUCUGGACAUGCAGACCCAGCCUCCAAUGACCCUGCACCCCACUCCAGGGACAGCACAGCAUCACAUCGUGGCAGGAAAGCUGAUUUUGGGGAAAUGGAAAUAGCACCAGCACAAAUCACUCCCAGCUGAAUUGUUCAUGGACCUUCAGACACCAUCAAAGUCAGGAGCACAGCAGGUUCGUGGCCAAAUUCACUCACUCCAUUCUCACACUGGGAGGGGAGAGGGUCAGCAGUAAAGAGAUGUGUUCAUUAUUCUGUGUUUGAAGGAAACACUCAACCAGAGACCUAUUUUUCUUUCUAUGAGAGAGUAAAUUGGCCAUAGCUGCAAAUGAACUGCAGGGAUCCACUAUAAACCAGGAUAAAAAAAAAUAAUUUUAU